rnacentral:lncRNA from 1 species
GAGGAUUCCAGAGGAUAGAAUAGGUGCUGAGGAUUCCAGAGGAUAGAAUAGGUGUGAAAGUCAGCAGUGGGGUCAAACCAGAGGUGAAAUUGUUGUUCUUUGUCACCUUUGCCAUUUGUGAAUACAUUGGUAUGCAGAGUGUAAGGGUCACCACUUAAAUUCCCCAAGAACUCGAAGUCUAUCUCAUCCCAUGUUGAUCCUGGCGAUUUUAACUGCGUGAACAAAAAGUCAAAGGUCUAUAUGUCAGAUACAUGAUGAUCAAACAUGCAUAUUGUUUAUUCAUAUAAAGGGUGAUGAUCAAACAUGCAUAUUGUUUAUUCAUAUAAAGGCAGGAACUUACAUAAUAAGCAGUGACAGUGCCGGCAGAGUUGCCAGGGACUA